AAAGAAACCAAUGAAAGAUUAGCAGCAGAAAAGAAAGCAGCUCAAGCUACAGUCCAAGCAGCAGCCCAGACACCCAAGACCAUUCAUCAUACCACCUUCUAGCCACAUCCACCAUAUUACCCACACUCAACCAACCUCGCAACUUUCUAGCCCACCAUGACGUGGCAACACUCACCACAGAUCCAACAUCAGAUUCAACCAACCUCGCAGAAUGCGAACUUCACACCCUCACAACCUUGCCAUGAAAUACCACUUCCAC
rnacentral:lncRNA from 1 species